UGGAACAAACCACCACCCCAAUCUGACCUCUUGAAGGUUUAUUCUCAUCAGAUAAUUAGAGGCAUAACCAAAUUUCUAUUCUGCAGAACUUGAUUUGUUAUUUCAUGUUUAAAGAAGUACUAAAACAUUUGCCUCUAAAUAGUCUUAACAAGUACAUAAACAACUCCCAUUCCCAUAACAAUGCACCUCUUUCUGUCUGCCUAUGCACUGAGGGGGGCAGAAUUUGCAGCAGUCGUCGACGGUUCUACAUCCUGCGUCGAUUGCGUCUCCUACUUUCGCAUUGAUGCUGACUUUCCUCGACAUCAAAAAAGGUGCUGCAUUACAUGCACCAUCGACUCCUCCUCCCACUGCACAUAGCAUAUGACGAGUGGAAUUUUAUACCUAAAUUUCGCCAACCAUUCCAAACGAGAAACGGAAACUCACUUAGCAUAAACUAAACGACUUACGAGAAGCGACGAGGAGAAGAGAAGCGAGAAAUGUUAUCUUGUAAAUGUGUGAGUUCUCCAUUUCUUCUUCUUCUUCUUCUUCUUUCUUUUGGUUUGCUAUGAGAGAAGUUGUAAAUUGGGUUUGUAGAAG
rnacentral:lncRNA from 1 species